UACGGGGGGGCAAGCGUUGUUCGGAAUUACUGGGCGUAAAGGGCUCGUAGGCGGCCAACUAAGUCAGACGUGAAAUCCCCAGGCUCAACCUGGGAACUGCGUCUGAUACUGGAUGGCUUGAAUUCGGGAGAGGGAUGCGGAAUUCCAGGUGUAGCGGUGAAAUGCGUAGAUAUCUGGAGGAACACCGGUGGCGAAGGCGGCAUCCUGGACCGACACUGACACUGAGGAGCGAAAGCCAGGGGAGCAAACGGGAGUUAG
rnacentral:rRNA from 1 species